UACGGGGGGGGGCAAGCGUUGUUCGGAAUUACUGGGCGUAAAGGGCGCGUAGGCGGCUUUUCAAGUCGGGCGUGAAAUCUCCGGGCUUAACCCGGAAGGGUCGUUCGAUACUGUUGAGCUAGAGUGUGGAAGAGGCAACUAGAAUUCCGUGUGUAGCGGUGAAAUGCGUAGAUAUACGGAGGAAUACCUGAGGCGAAGGCGGGUUGCUGGGCCAACACUGACGCUGAGGCGCGAAAGUGUGGGGAGUCAAAACAGG
rnacentral:rRNA from 1 species